rnacentral:tRNA from 1 species
GCGGAUGUAGNCAAGUGGAUCAAGGCAGUGGAUUGUGA